rfam:Helobdella robusta unplaced genomic scaffold HELROscaffold_93, whole genome shotgun sequence.
GUCUACGGCCAUAUCACGUUGAAAACACCGGUUCUCGUCCGAUCACCGAAGUUUAGCAACGUCGAGCCCGGUUAGUACUUGGAUGGGUGACCGCCUGGGAAUACCGGGUGCUGUAGGCU